rnacentral:rRNA from 1 species
GACGAACGCUGGCGGCGUGCCUAAUACAUGCAAGUCGAGCGGUGAAGGUUGGUUCUUGUCCCAACUGGGUGAGCAGCGAACGGGUGAGUAACGCGUGUGGACUCUGCCUUUGAGCGGGGGACCACAUUUGGAAAGGAAUGCUAACACCGCAUAAGAACUUGAAACACAAGUUUUAUGUUUGAAAGAUGCAAUUGCAUCACUCAAAGAUGAUCCCGCGGUGUAUUAGCUAGUUGGUGAGGUAAAGGCUCACCAAGGCGUUGAUACAUAGCCGACCUGAGCGGGUGGUCGGCCACCCUGGGACUGGGACCCGGCCCAAACUCCUUGAGGGAGGAGCAAGAGGGAAACUUCGGCAAUGGGCGGAAGUCUGACCGAGCAACGCCGCAGGAGGGAAGAAGGGUUUCGGGUCGGAAAAGUCUGUUGGUAGGGAAGAACGUUGGUGAGAGUGGAACGCUGAUCGAGUGACGGUAACUACACAGAAAGGACCGGCUAACUACGUG